CCGAGUUUACAACUCCCAAACCCAAUGUGAACGUUACCAAACUGUUGCCUCGGCGGGAUCUCUGCCCCGGGUGCGUCGCAGCCCCGGACCAAGGCGCCGCCGGAGGACCAACCAAAACUCUUUUUGUAUACCCCCUCGCGGGUUUUUUAUAAUCUGAGCCUUCUCGGCGCCUCUCGUAGGCGUUUCGAAAAUGAAUCA
rnacentral:rRNA from 1 species